UACGUAGGGUGCAAGCGUUAUCCGGAUUUACUGGGCGUAAAGCGUGUGCAGGCGGGGAACCAAGUGGUGUAUGAAAUCGCCCCGGCUAAACCGGGCUAGGUUAUGCCAGACUGGUUUUCUGGAGUGCGAGAGAGGGUCGCGGAAUUCCCGGUGUAGAGGUGAAAUUCGUAGAUAUUGGGAAGAACACCGGUGGCGAAGGCGACAUCCUGGACCAACACUGACGCUGAGGAGCGAAAGCCAGGGGAGCAAACGGG
rnacentral:rRNA from 1 species